AACAUCAUUGUGUAAUACAUCUUCAGCAUUGAACUAUUCGUGUCUCUUUGACGAAAAUAGAGGAUUCAAUGUGGAAUCAUGCAUAACAAAGACAGAUUUUGCCCCGCCAGGUUACAAAUAUGUGUUGAGAGGUCAGCCAGAUUUUACGCAAUGUGAAAUUGAGCGAUACCAGCCAAUCCGUUUGUGGUCCAAUGUCAGCAACCAGUGUAUCUUUCAGAAAUCUAAAUGUAUUCAAAAUGGUCAGUUUCUGUUUAAAAAUGGUACAACUGAAACGGACAGGUCCUGCAGAUGUGAUUAUACAAGAGGGUAUGCUUUCAUCACAAAACCGAAAAAUCAAUGCUUUUGUAUUCCUUCAGAGGAAGAUUGCAAUUGCUACAAAAAGUACUGUCCACAUAAAGGACUUCUGACACCAGAUUAUAAUUGUGCAACAGAAAAAGAUAAACCAGGACAAAACACUUAUUUUUGUCCAAU